GAUGAAGAACGCAGCGAAAUGCGAAAAGUAAUGUGAAUUGCAGAAUUCAGUGAAUCAUCGAAUCUUUGAACGCACAUUGCGCCCGCCAGCAUUCUGGCGGGCAUGCCUGUUCGAGCGUCAUUUCAACCCUCAAGCUCUGCUUGGUGUUGGGGCCCUACGGUUGACGUAGGCCCUUAAAGGUAGUGGCGGACCCUCUCGGAGCCUCCUUUGCGUAGUAACUAACGUCUCGCAUUGGGAUUCGGAGGGACUCUUGCCGUAAAACCCCCAAAUUUUCUAAUGGUUGACCUCGGAUCAGGUAGGAAUACCCGCUGAACUUAAGCAUAUCAAUAAGCGGAGGA
rnacentral:misc_RNA from 1 species